rnacentral:rRNA from 1 species
UAGGGAAUCUUCCGCAAUGGACGCAAGUCUGACGGAGCAACGCCGCGUGAGUGAAGAAGGAUUUCGGUUCGUAAAACUCUGUUGUUAGAGAAGAACAGCGCAUAGAGUAACUGUUAUGCGUGUGACGGUAUCUAACCAGAAAGCCACGGCUAACUACGUGCCAGCAGCCGCGGUAAUACGUAGGUGGCAAGCGUUGUCCGGAUUUAUUGGGCGUAAAGCGAGCGCAGGCGGUCAAUUAAGUCUGAAGUUAAAGGCAGUGGCUCAACCAUUGUAGGCUUUGGAAACUGUGUAACUUGAGUGCAGAAGGGGAGAGUGGAAUUCCAUGUGUAGCGGUGAAAUGCGUAGAUAUAUGGAGGAACACCGGUGGCGAAAGCGGCUCUCUGGUCUGUAACUGACGCUGAGGCUCGAAAGCGUGAGGAGCGAACAGG